rnacentral:lncRNA from 1 species
UGCCUGAAUGCUGGGCUGGCUUUGUUUUGGCUGGGAAGUGUGUGGUUUCAGUACCAGCAGGUGUGGUCCAGAGGGGGAACUGUGCAGCACUGCGUUAGUUCCUAGGGAUUCAGCACUGCAAACCAAUGCUUUGUCCUGGUGCAGGCAUGAGGCACAUUGCGGCCUGCGUUAGCCCUGCAGGCACAGGAGCGUGCCCACAGCGUGUAGAGGUGUGGGUUGCAGUUAGACUUGAAGGCUAAUGAGGGAGGAAUCCAGUCCCAGAGCAACUCUGAAGUGCCUUUGAGUUUGGCAAAAGUAGUUUCUUCUCUCUUGGCUGCGCAGCUGAGUUGCUCUAAUUUUGAUUUGGUGGAGGAAACCAUUUCUCCUCAGCUGAAAUGCCAGUGCAGCUAACUGNNNNNNNNNNNNNNNNNNNNUUUGGGCUGUUCUGUCCUGUAUGGAACAAAGGACAAGAUGCCGGGGUGGAUCUGCUGCAGGCACAGCACGCUGGGGGGACACGCGCUGCCCGCACCCUGGGGACGGGUGGCACCAGGUCAGUGGUGCCAUCACAGCACAGAAACAGGAGCCACGAAAUCACUGUCCUGCUGGGAUAUUCAGGCUGCAGCUUCCGAGGGCACCGCGGGGCCCCUUGGAGCCCUGGCUCAGGUCCAAGGCCACAGGCACGCACAGGAGACAGUUUGGGCGGGCAGCAGGGGAGGCACCGAGCCCGCGAGCAAGGCUGCCUUCGGGGAACUAAUUUAGGCAGAGAAUUUCUAGAUUAGCUAAAUUGAAUCAAAACAUUGCAAUACAGUUCAAUAAUUACUUUUACAGCAAAUGUGCUUUAAAAUGAACAGAUCAUUUUGACAGAGAACUGAGCAGCUGAUGAUAAACUCAUAUGAAAGUAUGAGCUUUGUAUAUAUGAAACUGUAUAAAAGACUUUAAUAUAUUUUUACUAUGAUCAUUAAUAUAGCAUAUAUUCAAAAAACUUCUACUGAAGCUUUCAAUUAUCUUUUUUUUCCCUUGUUUAAUAAAAUGUUGAUGGAGGAUGAGUAAUAAGUUGUC